CACGUAGGAGGCGAGCGUUGUCCGGAAUCACUGGGCGUAAAGAGCGCGCAGGCGGCUUGGCAAGUCGGGUGUGAAAUCCCGGGGCUCAACCCCGUGACUGCAUUCGAUACUGUCAGGCUAGAGGUAGGUAGGGGAGAUCGGAAUUCCUGGUGUAGCGGUGAAAUGCGCAGAUAUCAGGAGGAACACCGGUGGCGAAGGCGGAUCUCUGGGCCUUACCUGACGCUCAGGCGCGAAAGCUAGGGGAGCGAACAGG
rnacentral:rRNA from 1 species